ACGGGUGCGUAACGCGUGGGAAUCUGCCCUUGGGUACGGAAUAACUCAGAGAAAUUUGUGCUAAUACCGUAUAAUGUCUUCGGACCAAAGAUUUAUCGCCCAAGGAUGAGCCCGCGUAAGAUUAGCUAGUUGGUGAGGUAAGAGCUCACCAAGGCGACGAUCUUUAGCUGGUCUGAGAGGAUGAUCAGCCACACUGGGACUGAGACACGGCCCAGACUCCUACGGGAGGCAGCAGUGGGGAAUAUUGGACAAUGGGCGAAAGCCUGAUCCAGCAAUGCCGCGUGAGUGAUGAAGGCCUUAGGGUUGUAAAGCUCUUUUACCCGGGAUGAUAAUGACAGUACCGGGAGAAUAAGCUCCGGCUAACUCCGUGCCAGCAGCCGCGGUAAUACGGAGGGAGCUAGCGUUGUUCGGAAUUACUGGGCGUAAAGCGCGCGUAGGCGGUUUUUUAAGUCAGAGGUGAAAGCCCAGUGCUCAACACUGGAACUGCCUUUGAAACUGGAAAACUUGAAUCUUGGAGAGGUCAGUGGAAUUCCGAGUGUAGAGGUGAAAUUCGUAGA
rnacentral:rRNA from 2 species